UUGAAGUAGCAAACUUCAAAUCUAACAGCAGAUGUUCCUGCAAUACUUUCAACCAUUCAGCAUGUUCUGCUCCAACUUUGAAUGUACUUGGAACAAAAGGUUCAUUAGGGAAAGUGAUUACAUAGUUCUACAUGUCAUUAACUCAUGAGGUGACACUUAAGUUUGGAUUUGCAGGAAUAGACAUUAAUACUCCUGGUAAAUAU